GUAUUUAUAGUACUAUUUAGUAUUAUAGUAAUUUACUAAAUUAUUAAUAUUCGAAUUUUAAUAUU
rnacentral:tRNA from 1 species